CCUACGGGUGGCAGCAGUGAGGAAUAUUGGUCAAUGGACGAAAGUCUGAACCAGCCAAGUCGCGUGAGGGAUGAAUGCUCUAUGGUUUGUAAACUUCUUUUAUAUGGGAAUAAAAUGUUCCACGUGUCUGAUUUUGUAUGUACCAUAUGAAUAAGGAUCGGCUAACUCCGUGCCAGCAGCCGCGGUAAUACGGAGGAGCCGAGCGUUAUCCGGAUUUAUUGGGUUUAAAGGGAGCGUAGGGGGCUUGUUAAGUCAGGUGUGAAAGUUUGCGGCUCAACCGGAAAAUUGCAGUUGAAACUGGGAGGCUUGAGUACAGUAGAGGUGGGCGGAA
rnacentral:rRNA from 1 species